rnacentral:rRNA from 1 species
GUCCACGCCCUAAACGAUGUCAACUGGGUGUUGGGGAAGUGAUUCCUUGGUACCGUAGCUAACGCGUGAAGUUGACCGCCUGGGGAGUACGGCCGCAAGGUUAAAACUCAAAGGAAUUGACGGGGACCCGCACAAGCGGUGGAUGAUGUGGAUUAAUUCGAUGCAACGCGAACAACCUUACCUACCCUUGACAUGUCCGGAACCCUGCUGAGAGGUGGGGGUGCCCGAAAGGGAAUCGGAACACAGGUGCUGCAUGGCUGUCGU